ensembl:misc_RNA Metazoa_SRP Metazoan signal recognition particle RNA
GCUGGGCAUGGUGGUGCAUGCCUGUAAUUCUAGCUACUCGGGAGGCUGAGGCAGGAGAAUCACUUGAACCUAGGAGGUGGAGGUUGCAGUGAGCUGAGAGCCCUGCACUCCAGCCUGGGUGACAGAGUGAGACCCUGUCUCAA